GCUCGGUCGCGGUUCCCUUUCCCCUACCCUCCUCCCUCCGCGGCGAUUUCCCUCCCGUGGCGGUUGCCCCGGGAAGGGAUCGGGAGGCAGAUGAGCAGCUGUUGAAGAAGAAGAAGCCGGAGCCGGAGCAGCCGCAGCCGCAGUCGGCUGCGGAGGAGGCGGUGGGCGUCAAUCCUCUCAACCCGAGGUACAGCGAGUACGACCCCAAGCAGAGGGAGCACGUGUAGACCCGCUUCUGCUUCGAUCCCAGACUCGACCUCGACAAGGAGUCCCCUUAUGGUCCAAUGCGCCAUACUCACAAAACCUUCGGAGAGGGAUUCCCAUUGUAUCACUCAGCAAAUAUUCUCUCAGUCAAGAUUGUUGCUUCUGACUAUGGCUACCCACUUGAUAUCUAUGGCACGGUAAUAGCCAGGGAAGAUUUGGAUCGCAAAUGUGUCUAUUUAUUCCGGCGCGACAAGGACAAUCACCCGUUCGAUCAUCACCUCGGAGGACAAUUCGUUGAUUUUGACUGGUCCAAAGAGAGGACUUGCGCUCUGCGGUUCGCUGUUUUUUGAAAUCAAUCUGAAGGUUAAGGAUGUGCAUGGGAGGGAGGUCAAGGAUGAAAGACUCAGCAAAGG